GGCGGCGUGCUUAACACAUGCAAGUCGAACGAUGAUCCUCAGCUUGCUGGGGGGAUUAGUGGCGAACGGGUGAGUAACACGUGAGUAACCUGCCCUUGACUCUGGGAUAAGCCUGGGAAACUGGGUCUAAUACCGGAUAUGACUCCUCAUCGCAUGGUGGGGGGUGGAAAGCUUUUGUGGUUUUGGAUGGACUCGCGGCCUAUCAGCUUGUUGGUGGGGUAAUGGCCUACCAAGGCGAUGACGGGUAGCCGGCCUGAGAGGGUGACCGGCCACACUGGGACUGAGACACGGCCCAGACUCCUACGGGAGGCAGCAGUGGGGAAUAUUGCACAAUGGGCGCAAGCCUGAUGCAGCGACGCCGCGUGAGGGAUGACGGCCUUCGGGUUGUAAACCUCUUUCAGUAGGGAAGAAGCCGCAAGGUGACGGUACCUGCAGAAGAAGCGCCGGCUAACUACGUGCCAGCAGCCGCGGUAAUACGUAGGGCGCAAGCGUUAUCCGGAAUUAUUGGGCGUAAAGAGCUCGUAGGCGGUUUGUCGCGUCUGCUGUGAAAGACCGGGGCUCAACUCCGGUUCUGCAGUGGGUACGGGCAGACUAGAGUGAUGUAGGGGAGACUGGAAUUCCUGGUGUAGCGGUGAAAUGCGCAGAUAUCAGGAGGAACAC
rnacentral:rRNA from 1 species